GGCGCGGUGCAUGGGGCUAGAACUCAGGGCCCAGCAGGUCUGACAAUGCAGGUUUCCCCGCUCGCCUGUUGGGUUUUUGAAACGCCCUCAGCGGGGUUUUCCUCCUAAUUCUGGUUUGGAGGAGCCAUCUCUCUCCAUCCCGUCUGCCAGCGGGGUUUGCUUCACACACAGACGUGGGCAGAUGGCAUCGGGGACACAGGGAAACCUGACCUUAGAGGAAAUGGAAAAGUUGGAGAGACACUGAGCACUGAUACGAAAUAAUUCUCUUGCUGAAAUACACGAAAGGAGUCCCAGCAGCCAUAUUAGUAUUUCCACGUCCUGUGUCAGCCCCAAGUAGAGAGAACUUGGAAUGGGAGGGGAAAUGGCAGCCAUCAGGAAAUGAAAUGCUGGCCCAGAGAAUUCUAAGCAAGUCAAUCACCAGUCCAAAGGAAAGGCCAUGUGAGGACAUAAGGAGGAGACAGCCAUCUAUAAGCCAAGAAGAAAGCCCUCACUAGAAACCAACUCUAAUGGCACCCUGAUCUUGGAUUUCUAGCCCCUGGACAAUGAGAAAAUAAAUGUCUGUUGUUUAAGCACCUA
rnacentral:lncRNA from 1 species